CAGUGUUCAAGCUACAAAACAGUAUAAGGGUAUUACCAUGUCUGCAGUUGACAGAAUGAGUAUUAGAGUUAUUAUGGUAUAAAAGUAGAUUAGUAUGGAUUUAUGGCUGUGUAAUCAGUUCUACCAUAUUUCAUGAGCUGAUACACUUAUGUAAUUGUACCUAUCAUGGAUAAAUCCUAUUCUCAAAUAUAUAGCUUCUGAUGAGGGGGUGAAUAUUUUGUUGCCCUGUUUCUUAUCAGCGUUUUAUGAUUCAGUCAAUAACUUUUAUUUCACAAGAUACAAGUUUUAUAACAGUUCACAGAAUUUAGUGUUUUAAAUCCCUCAAAUUCAUAGACUAAAGCAGUUUAAAGUGGUACAAAUCUAGUGUUGGAUAUAUAUAGUAUCUUAAAUUUAAGCAGAUUAAAUAAUCCCAUGUGUGGAAAAAAUACCGACUUCAGUGGAUUUGUUUACAGGCUUGGCUGGAUUGAGAUCGCAGGAAAAUAUCUCAGCAUUUUCUUAAGGAUCGGUUUUGUCUGUUUUGUUUCAAUAUUAAAUUACAACCUAAAUCUAGUUCUUUCUCUGAAAAUAUUUCUCUCUUCUCUCUAGAACUGCAGAAUUUUGCUAAAGUUAUAAAAGCAGGACGACCCAAGCCGAGGAAACCCAGCAAGACUAGUGACUUCGGUGAUAUCACCAACUGGCCAACACCAAGUGAAAUAGCGAACAAUGAAUGCAAAGUAAAUCAGAAUAAAAAGCCACCAAAUAGAAAAGAAAAGGAAGAGAAACAUGAGAAGAGAGCCAGCAACGAAAUCAAAGAAACCCUGGAAGUAAAGCAAGAUGGUCUGGGAGAAAAUGUUAGUGAAGAUGAAGCUCAGUGUAACAGUCAAAGGAAAAAAGGUUAGUCUAUGCCCUACAUAAGGUAUGUCAGUAUUGCUCUGCUAGAAAUCUUGAAAAGUACGCAUUCUUUUGGGUGUUUGA
rnacentral:lncRNA from 1 species